UAAUUUCCUUAAUAGAACUUUAUUGGUGUUGUUAAUUACAGUGAUGAAAUGGUCAUUUGUCACAUUUACACCGUCAGUUUAUCUGGAUUUGGAAACCAGAACAGCAGAAACUGCAUCGAGGAACUUGUCCCAGGCUGAUUGGGCAGUGGGAGUGAAUUCAGCUCCAAAGUGAGCAGCCAUAGUGACCUGGAUGGAGUGAGACAGCAGCUACAAGAGAAAUCAAAUGAGAGUUAAAUUUAGUUAUUUAUGAUAGAUGUACAAAAUAUGUAAUCAUUUGUAUUCAAUAUUAG